rnacentral:rRNA from 1 species
GACGAAUGCUGGCUGCGUGCUUAACACAUGCAAGUCGAACGGUGAAAGGGAGCUUGCUCCCUGGAUCAGUGGCGAACGGGUGAGUAACACGUGGGCAACCUGCCCCUCACUCUGGGAUAACUCCGGGAAACCGGGGCUAAUACCGGAUACGACCUGGUGCGACAUCGCACCGGGUGGAAAGAACUUCGGUGAGGGAUGGGCCCGAGGCCUAUCAGCUUGUUGGUAGGGUAACGGCCCACCAAGGCGACGACGGUUAGCCGGCCUGAGAGGGCGACCGGCCACACUGGGACUGAGACACGGCCCAGACUCCUACGGGAGGCAGCAGUGGGGAAUAUUGCGCAAUGGGCGAAAGCCUGACGCAGCGACGCAGCGUGAGGGACGAAGGCCUUCGGGUUGUAAACCUCUUUCAGCGGGGACGAAGCGAAAGUGACGGUACCCGCAGAAGAAGCACCGGCUAACUACGUGCCAGCCGCCGCAGUAACAC